rnacentral:tRNA from 1 species
UACAUUGGCAGAAUAUUGCACUAGAAUUAGAAUCUAAUUACCUC